rnacentral:rRNA from 1 species
UACGUAGGGUGCAAGCGUUGUCCGGAAUUAUUGGGCGUAAAGAGCUCGUAGGCGGUUUGUCGCGUCGGCUGUGAAAACCUGGGGCUCAACCCCGGGCCUGCAGCCGAUACGGGCAAGCUAGAGUUCGGUAGGGGAGUGUGGAAUUCCUGGUGGAGCGGUGAAAUGCGCAGAUAUCAGGAGGAACACCCGUAGCGAAGGCGGCACUCUGGGCCGAUACUGACACUGAGGAGCGAAAGCGUGGGGAGCGAACAGG